rnacentral:sRNA from 1 species
AGGACUCCCCUUUGCCCUGAAGUCUUUUGUUGGCUCAAAGAGCAGAUGUGGUGCAGGCAAUAGCAGUGCCAGCUUCCCCCAGCACUCACCUGGAGGGAGCAGCUGAACAAGAGGAGGAGGAGGUGGUUCAGCCCUAGUGAUUUUUCCAUUCUUCAGCCUUU